rnacentral:rRNA from 1 species
UACGUAGGGGGCUAGCGUUGUCCGGAUUUAUUGGGCGUAAAGAGCGUGUAGGCGGCCAGGUAGGUCUGCUGUGAAAACUCGAGGCUUAACCUCGAGACGUCGAUGGAAACCGUAUGGCUAGAGUCCGGAAGAGGAGAGUGGAAUUCCUGGUGUAGCGGUGAAAUGCGCAGAUAUCAGGAAGAACACCCGUGGCGAAGGCGGCUCUCUGGGACGGUACUGACGCUGAGACGCGAAAGCGUGGGGAGCGAACAGG